rnacentral:rRNA from 1 species
AUACGGAGGCUGCAAGCGUUAUCCGGAAUCACUGGGUUUAAAGGGUGCGUAGGCGGCUAAAUAAGUCAGAGGUGAAAUCUUCCUGCUUAACGGGAAAAUUGCCUUUGAAACUGUAUAGCUUGAAUUAAGUUGAGGUUAGCGGAAUGUGACAUGUAGCGGUGAAAUGCAUAGAUAUGUCAUAGAACACCAAAUGCGAAGGCAGCUGGCUAGGCUUAUAUUGACGCUGAGGCACGAAAGCGUGGGGAGCGAACAGGAUUAGAUACCCUAGUAGUCC